UACGUAGGGGGCAAGCGUUGUCCGGAAUCAUUGGGCGUAAAGAGCGCGUAGGCGGCCCGACAAGUCCGCUGUGAAAGUCAGGGGCUCAACCCUUGAAUGCCGGUGGAUACUGUCGGGCUAGAGUCCGGAAGAGGCGAGUGGAAUUCCUGGUGUAGCGGUGAAAUGCGCAGAUAUCAGGAGGAACACCGAUGGCGAAGGCAGCUCGCUGGGACGGUACUGACGCUGAGGCGCGAAAGCGUGGGGAGCAAACAGG
rnacentral:rRNA from 1 species